rnacentral:lncRNA from 1 species
GACAGCCUGUCUUCUGUAAGUCUACACAUUGGAUACCAUCAUUUAGCUUUUCCUGAGUUUUAUUUGAAGUUCGGCAUUACAUUUAGAUGCUUAGUUAUGGAGCUUUGAGCAUGCUUAGAGGUAUAGGGUCAGUCCUGUCAAAAUCUUGCAUGGCUCUUCCUCUGCUAAGUUGACAGUUGUGCUUUUAUUUUCUAAAGGAGUACCAUUUGCAUAGUAGAUGUCACAGUCAGUUAAUAGACUUUGGAGUCUAGUCAUGUGGUUGGAUAGUUUGAUUGCAACUUUUUAAGCUCAGAAUAUUCUUCUUUAGUCCGAAGAAGCAGUUAAAAAUUGGAUUACGGUAGACAUAAAACUUAAUAAAGUGAUUCCUGGCGUAUUGAAUUGGAUUUGAAAUAUUCUAAGGAUGUUAAUGGUUCAAAUUAAAAUUAAAUUUCUGUAUUUUUUUGGUAAAUUACAUGAUUCCAGUUUACCUAUUUGGAACAGUUUUUUACCCUUAUAUGUUCUCUUAUAUGGAAUGAAAUAGGGCUGGAUUUCGUAACUCUACUAAUUUGCUUCAGCUUGCUGGUCAUUAAGAUAUAAAAGACUUGACCUAAUUCUCUUUCAUCCUCCAUACAACUCGUGCACAUGUGUCUUUAUUUUGAUUCAAAGAUUAGCCUAUCCCAGAAUUCAUGUUUGGGCCCACCUUGAUCUAAGGCUUAGAAUAAUACCCGCAGACUUCAUUAUUAAGUUAGCUGGCUUGGCUCCAUCAGUGACUGAUAACCAGGUCUCUGCAUUCGUCACUUCAGACUUGGUGAUGGGAAAAGUUUAAUUGAUAUGAUGAUUUCUGUUUCAAUAUCAAGGAGACUUGCACUGUCUGGCAUGGUGUGAAACCAAUGAAUGAUUCUGAAAGAAUUUGAUUUCUUGGGUCCUGCUGGUUUCAGAAAAUGAACACAUAAAUUAUCUUGUAACUUGAUGACAAAGCUGGAAUUUAUUUUGGCUGAUGUGGAUUUUUUUUUCCAACUGCAUGUAGAGGAGUAACUCUCUGUUCAGCAACACUAGAAAAAUAUGCAGUUUGUUAUUUAUGGUCCUAAACUGCAUGUUUUCGAUGAUAGCCAGAAAGAAAAACUUAAAUAGCAAGAAAUAAUGGCAUUUAUAAGAGCUCAAAUACAGGACCGAACCUGUUAUCAUGGAGAGUGAAACCUGUUGAUAUGUAGCAAAUAAGAUGGGAGAGUGUUAGAUUGUAAUUGGUUGUUGACUUGUUAGCUAUUCUGUUUGCUGUUGUGUGUGUAUUAGGUUAUAUCAACUGGCAAGAUCUUUGUAUUUUCUUAGUCAAUUGGUUAAUGAUAUCUGUUAUUCUCUGAUUCUCUCUCUCUCUCUCUCUCUCUCUCUCUCUCUCUUUCUGUUUUCUCUCUAUCUUUCCCUUGCGAUUUUUUUCUCUAACCAGACAUACAAAUUUUACUUGUAUUACUUGUUAAGUUAGAAAUCUAAUCUUUAUUCCAUGAUUAGAAAGAGGAUUAUAAUUGGCGCCACCAUAUCUGCACUGAGGAAUUGAGUGGGGAAUCGACAGAUAAAAGAGAUGUUCAAGAGCCUUAGGGUUUUGGUAUUGGUCACGCUUUAAUAUGUUGGUAGAAAUGACAAUGUUUGUGUCAGGUACCAGGCUCAUUAAUAGCUUAAGCACCUUAGAAGAACAGCAGCGGAAGUAAUUUGGAAUGAAAUAACUAGAGUAAGAAAUGGUAGGAAGAAUAGUUUAGGAAGAAGAAUUGAGCAUAAGAGGGACAAAAUAUUUAGUGAGAAAUAAGAGAAUUCUUGUAUUAAUAAUCAUGAAUAAAUACAGUUCUAUUCUCCUCUAAACUAAUAAGCAAUCAUUAGCUAUAUUCUGACAGCUGAUAAUUGGCUAAAGGACAAAAUGAAAUAACAACUUUUGCUAAAAGACAAACAAUGAAGGAAAAUUACAAACAACAAGAAUUACACCAGCUGGAAUUUCUGUUAACAAACUUGUAGAAACAUUCUAAAAUAUCUGCCAUCAUAUUUAUGCCCUUUUCACGAUUCAAUCAACCUUUCAUAAUUGCUGACGUUUCUCCUGAAUGGGAUAUCUCUGCUGACAUGGCAUUCUUCUGUUGACAGUCCAUGACAGUUUGUACAAAAGCUAGUAAUCUUCUAUUUCAACUGGUUGGAUCCAACUGUUUUCUAGUUUAUGAUCCAUGAUCUUAACCAAGGGAUUGUUUUAUUUAAUUUGGAAUCUGUGACUAGCACACUCAAAGGCACAUCUGGAAACAAAUGCGUUAUAGUGGGUUUUUAUUGUUUUAUUUUUUUCAGAUUAGGGUUGAUUUACACUUAACAGUUUCUUUCACAAGCCAUACUACUUACUGCUGUAUCUAUGAGAAGCUUUUCUGUGUCAAACUAAUUUUGUUUUGCAAAGGCUUGGAAACAGCUUCUUCGCCAAAAUGCUAUGGGAAGGAUUCAUAUAAAUUCGCCCAUCCUCCCCUGCCAGAGAGCACUUUGUGCACUGAGUUGGCUAUUUUAACUUGAUCUCCUUUUGUUUUAUGGAAACUGAUUGUUUCUGCAGUGAGAAACCUCUGCUAUGGACAAUUGGUGUAUUUGACCGUAUUUGACAUGAUGGACCGAAUUUAAAUUAUUUUUUCGAGGUUUAUUUGAUCUUUAUUUCUUUGGCUUGUGUUCAUCAUGACUAUCUCUCUCUCUGAAAGCAUCUUCGGUUUUACAUCCAAAAUCUAGCUUUGCGUCACUCGGAUAGCUUCUUCUUUCCCUGUAUGCUGACACUCGCUGAUUCUCUUUUCUACUCUUUCAGUCACAAGUUGAUUAGUCUUGCUUAGUAGCCCACAGCAGUAAAAUUUCUUUGUUUUCAUGUUCUAUGAAGUGCUUAGAUAUUAUUAAUUUCACUAUGUUUGAUGAGUUGUUACUUUGUCUGCUGACUUCUUUAUUUUUUUCUUUUACCAUGUAG